CCUACGGGAGGCAGCAGUGGGGAAUAUUGCGCAAUGGGGGAAACCCUGACGCAGCGACGCCGCGUGAGCGAAGAAGGUCUUCGGAUCGUAAAGCUCUGUUUUAAGGGACGAAUGUUCAUGUGAGUAACUGCAUAUGAAAUGACGGUACCUUAAGAGGAAGCCCCGGCUAACUACGUGCCAGCAGCCGCGGUAAU
rnacentral:rRNA from 1 species